AUAGAUAUAGGGAGAAAACCAGCUUAUGGGUUUUCUCUGAGUUGUUUUGAAUUUCUGGUCUGGGUCCUGGAGUCCGGAGGCUUUGUAGAGCAUUGGGUGGGAUGAAGCUUCCAUUCCUAGGUCCAUUACGGAUUUUGUGCCAGGAGCAUGUUCAGCUGACUGAAUAGUAAAAGGAGUGUUACAAUUCAGAACAGUGAGAAGGGGGAAGCACUGAGAGGAGAGAUCAGGCUCCCUAAAACCAAGCCAGCCACACUCAUUGGGAGGGGUACUGGGGCUUGUAAGGAGGCAUUGAAAGUUCCUGACUGUUUGGAUUUAUGCCAUGCUGAAGGGUGAAGCAUUACCAGAUGCCUCUGGGCAGGCCACUGGCACAAACAAACAGAACAUUUACAUGGAUGACUAAAUAGCACGAUAUCCAACCAUAUCAUCGAAGGACCAUUUUCAUCCAAGACAAAGCUGAUCAGACUGGCUGGUGGAUGGUCCACUUUAACAAAGUAAAACUCUGGAGCUACAGAGAAGGUGUUCCCACAUUGACCUGAAUCCAUUGAUGAUGCAUACUUUAACCUACCCUACAGAUGUCAUUUUGAUGCAGUUGCUUGAAAACCUUCAAGAAAAAUUCCUAUUAAAACU